CCGAGGUCUGCGACAUUCCACUUUUGCAGUCGGACUUUCUACUUGGUUACUAGCUACGCCCGACAUGCCCGACGGACCUUGAAAGAAAAUAAAAAAUAACUUUACAAACGUUUUUACCAAAGUUUCGAUCUAAUAAACGAUCUCAAACUUAUUUUCAUCAUUACUAUUUAUGACAGCGAUGUUCAAUUUGUUCAACCGCUAGCUUUAUACAGAAAAUCGCCGACAUGUAAUGUGUAAAUCCGAGUAAAAUCGUAUCUCACUAUCUGUCAAAAACAACAUUGAAAACAAAAUGGCUGCCGCGAGAAGACAAUUACAAUAUCGGAUCCGAUUCCGGAAGCGGAUAAGGGUAAUCCCGGGUUUUGGCUAUUAACUAAAAAAAUCCAGACAGGUGACA
rnacentral:lncRNA from 1 species